rnacentral:rRNA from 1 species
AUCACUAAGCGGAGGAAAAGAAACUAACAAGGAUUCCCCUAGUAGCGGCGAGCGAACCGGGAGAAGCCCAGCUUGAAAAUCGCGCCGCGUCUUCCGACGUUGUAGUCUGGAGAAGCGUCCUCUGUUGCGGACUCGGCCCAAGUCCCCUGGAAAGGGGCGUCAGAGAGGGUGAGAACCCCGUCGGGCUGAGACCCUGCAGCUCCACGAGGCGCUGUCGACGAGUCGGGCUGUUUGGGAAUGCAGCCCUAAGCGGGAGGUAAAUUCCUUCCAAGGCUAAAUACUGGCGAGAGACCGAUAGCGAACAAGUACCGCGAGGGAAAGAUGAAAAGGACUUUGAAAAGAGAGUUAAAAAGUGCUUGAAAUUGCUGGGAGGGAAGCGAAUGGAGGCCUCGUGUGCGCCCCGGUCGGAUGCGGAACGGCGCAAGCUGGUCCGCCGCUCGACGCGGGGUGCUGGUCAGCGUGGGCUGGUUCGGCGGGACAAAAGUCGGGCUUCAGUGCCCGGCCGAUGCCGUCGAGUCGGCCGAGGAAUCGAAGCGCGCGUCCCCUCUCUCGGGGACGGGACCCGCGGGUCACCUGCGCGCUCGAGACGUUGGCGUAGUGGGCUU